GCUGCUGUACUGCGCGUGCGCGGCAUCCCAGCCCCGCCCCGGAGGCGUUCCUAGACGGACGGUAGUACCGUGGGGCGGCUGAUAACGCUUUAGCGAGCCGCGAAGAUAGGAGGCGGGGAAGAAGGGGGACGUGUACCUCUCCCUCAUUCACGGUACCACCGCGAGGGGGAGUGGGGGGCUACAAGGGGACGGAGAGAAGAGUCCAGACGUCCCACAUCCUGAGGGCGAGUUUCAGCCUCGUAGAGGGCAGCGAAAGUAAUUGCAUGGAUCAGGAAAAUCUUGCAAUCGGAAAACAGCAGCGUCCCCGUAAUUUCAAUAUAGGUGGGGCUUACAAGUGGCUGGCUGUUUAGACGCGGUUAGCAUAGCUUAGCGUUUUAUUUACUUGCCAAACAUUUCACAAAGCGCGUGCUAUGUGUGAGUGUACCAGGCAUUGCUCUAACCGUUUUACACAUUUACAUGCUAUAACUCCAAAAUUAUCGUUACCCCCUUUUACGAAUGAAGAGACUAAGACCUAGAAAUGUGAAGUACAUUUACCUGAACUCAUCACCUUCCCACCCCCAUCCCAUCGACUCUGUGCUGUAUCCUGAACCGGCUGACAGAACAAUGAUGUAGACUUGACUUGUUUUCGCCAACCUGGAAUGAAGCAAAGCUCUUGUGCACCCAAGAUCUGCUCUCUGUUGUAAAUCCUGUUCAGACCUGGUCUAAUUGGUUUGAAUAAAUAAAGAACCGGAAUCUUUCUCAUCCAAACUAGUUGCCAGCAUAUUUUUAAGGCCACCUCCCUUCAAAUUUAAAAGGAAGUGUUGAAUGUACUGUCACUAUAAAUUAAAAGCCCUGGA
rnacentral:lncRNA from 10 species